rnacentral:rRNA from 1 species
GACGAACGCUGGCGGUGUGCUUCACACAUGCAAGUCGAACGAGGUAGCAAUACCUAGUGGCGGACGGGUGAGUAACGCGUGGGAAUCUGCCUUUAGAUGGGGGAUAACGGGUCGAAAGACUCGCUAAUACCGCAUAUGACGAAAGUUGAAAGGAGUAAUCCGUCUAAAGAUGAGCCCGCGUCCGAUUAGCUAGUUGGUAGAGUAAAAGCCUACCAAGGCGACGAUCGGUAGCUGGUCUGAGAGGAUGAUCAGCCACAAUGGGACUAGAGACACGGCCCAUACUCCUACGGAGGCAGCAGUGGGAUUUACGCAAUGGCGAAAGCCUGACGUAGCGACACCGCGUGAGCGAAGAAGCCCCUUGGGGUGUAAAGCUCUGUCAGCUGGACGAAAAAAUAGACGGUACCAGCAGAGAAGCAUCGACUAACUACGUGCCAGCAGCCGCGGUAAU